rnacentral:lncRNA from 1 species
CGCUGUCCCAGUACAAGGCAGCAGGGAGGAGCUGCUCCUUGGGCUCCUCGUGUUUUUUAGGGUAGGUAUGGAGUGAGGCGACCUGGAGGACUCUGAGAGAAGCAGCGUGGCUACACUGAGAGAGAUUCUGGUGCCUCGAUGGAGCUCAGCUCAGAGAAGCCUCCGAAACUCCAGGAGCCCCGAAGCGGUGUGGAAGGGCCAGGAGCAGAACCACCUUUCUCUUCCUUUCAGAUGAUUUUAAAGAUUCUCCCGGACAGAAUCUGCCACCCCCAAAUGAAGUUCAGACUUCACCUGAGGCUCUGCUGUCUGAGUUACGGCCAGAACGCAAGAGGUUCAUUGGGAGAAGCUUUCCCUGAUAUCCAACCUGAACCUCCCCCGGUGCAUCCUGAGGCCGUCACCUCUCAUCCUACUGCUGUUACUCGGGAGAAGAGGCCGACCCUCACCUCACUACAAGCUCAUUUCUGGGAGCUGGAGAGAGCAAAGCAUAGAAUCACAGAAUUGCUCAGGUUGGAAAAGACCUUCGAGAUCAUUGAGUCCAAGCUCAACCCAACCAUACCACCCUAACCCGAACAACCCGCUGCUAAAUGAUGUCCCUGAGCACCACAUCCAGAUGGUUUGCAUCCAGAAGAUCCAGGUUAAUGCCCUGUUGGCCUUUGCAUGUGGUGCAAACGGGGAGUUUAACUCGUAUUUAAGGCUCUGGAGGCCUUUGGUUUGGGCAGCAGUUGAAUCCGAGGUUUCAUGGCAGUAGCGGUGUUCGAUGCUUUGUUAGGGCAAUCAUUUCACGUGGCUGGAGGAAUUUUGGGGCAGUGUAAUUGCUGGGCGGUGUGUGAGGUGGAAGAACAGCCAAAGAGGGACGGCACUGUGCUGACUGCGGCUGCUGGCUCACCUCCCGCUUGGUAAGCCCACGGAUAACGAC